GCGGGAGUGGUGGAAUUGGCAGACACGCCAGGUUUAGGUCCUGGUGCUCGAAAGAGUGUAGGGGUUCGAGUCCCCUCUUCCGCA
rnacentral:tRNA from 1 species